GUACUAAAAAGGAGUGGGAUAACGCCAGCCACACGCCGUAUGCAUACAAAGGUGACCAAUGGGUCUCUUACGACGACGAAGAUAGUGUUCGUGACAAGGUGCAAUGGAUAGUGAAUAAUGGCUAUGGUGGCGUCAUGACCUACACACUGAAUGAUGAUGAUAUGAAUGGCGACUGCGGGAAGGCAAUCAAGACUGCAAACAAUCCGCCCGCAAAUCCGAAGACAUUUCCAUUACAGCAGAUAGUAUAUAAUCUGACAAAAAACGUUGAAGUUUCUACAGUUUCUAAUCAUCGGAAAUAGAGUGUUAAACAACUAAGUAAAAAUUCCUUUGCUUGCCAC